CAUGGAGCUGUGUCAGGGGAAAGGCAGCUGGGGGUCAGGGAAAGGGUCUGCACCACAGGGCGGGGGGCAUGGAAUGCGCUGCCCAAGGCUGUGGGAACGGCCCCAAGUGACGGAGUUCAAGGAGCAUCUCAGACAUACAGUCUGAUUUUUGGGUGGUCCUGUGUUGAGCCAGAGGUUGGACACAAUAAUCCUUGUGGGUCCUUUUCAGCUCAGGAUUUUCUAUAUUUCCAUGAUUCUCUAUGUGCUUUUAACUUCUUUCCCUGUGGCUCUGCUCCAAGCUGGAACCCCAGCAGCCCAGUUUUUGAAGGGCUUCCUCUUGAUGAACACCACAUGAGCAAACCUGGCCUCCAAAGCUGACUGGGGAAGGGAAGGGCAGCACUUGGGGUAUGUUUGCUUACCACAUGUCUUCAGACAGAAAGGAUGACAGACAGAGUGCAUGUCUUUCCUUGGGAAACACAUGAUGUGGAUAACAUGCAUGUUGUCUGGUCUACUGCUCUCCUGCUCUCUGAUUGCUUUGAGACAAAGUUUCUCUGGGCAGGCAGAAACCUGAGCGAGCUGAGAACUGCAAUAGGCAAAAUGGACCUUGUCCUGAAAAGAGAGCUCUUACAGGCUUUUAGGAACAGAAAUCACCCAAAACAUGCUGGUUUUGGAACAUGGGGUAGACCAAGACAUUUGGAUUGACUGUUUCUAGUAAAGAUAUGAGAGUGCUUUUUAAGAGCAAAGAGGCAAGGGAUACGGGUAACCAAACAUUUCAUUUAAAUGGUGUCCGUGAAGAACAAUUUGCAAAGUGCCUCAGGGACAGGUCAGAUUUGCAAAAUACUUAUCCUCCUUGUUCAUGAAGAACAAGAAAAAUGAUGUAUUGGAUGUGUUUAGGGCUAUUUUUGUAUGUUUCUUUUGGUUUUGCUUGCUUUGAUUUGCUUAUUUCUCAUCUCUGUGUCCUUCGAAGAAAGUUUUUCCUGUUUUGAGCUAUCUCAGCAGAGAAAGCAGGAUUUCCUAGGUCUCCUUAGCUGUCACAAAUUCUGCCCAGAGCAGCUUUCCCACUUUCCUGUACAAAAGGCAGAGCCAGAAGCCUCUAGGUAGAGCAGACAGGCUAGCAGGCAAAGCCAGGUUUUGUCCAGGCACCUCUCCAUUUUGAGUGCACUGCCAGGCAUGAGACCAGCACAAUAACCUUCUUCCACUCCUAUAGCCAUGCUGGGGGUCCUCCCAUUGCUCACUGUUCCCUUUUGGUCCAGGUAAUCAACCAUUCCCAUGCCUUGCAGUUAGGAUCCUCGGUAGGCCUUGGCUGUAAAACAAACAGGUAAUUUUAUUGUACACAGCCUCAUGCAAAGUUAUUUUACCAUCUGUUUGCAGGGACCAUAUGGGGAAGGGAGAAUUUAAAUGUCAGAGAAUUAUAAGAGGAGUAAGUUUGUGUGUCUUUUAAAGGUAAGAGAGCAGAUAAAGAAAGGAAGGACAGCAGAAGGCUGCAGAAUAUGAUCAAGUCCAUUGAGAAACAUAUGCAGAUGAGAGAAAAAGAGAAAUUCAUACUGGAAACUGGAUGGGCAAAGUAUCAGUUGCAGAGCAGACAUGGUUAGUAUUUAUGACUGCCAGGUGCAUGUGGCUCAGUUCUUCAGGGUGAUGCCUUCCCACUUCAUAAAAUGAUUUGGAUUGGAAGGGACCCCAAGAAGCAACAGGUUCUAACCCCCCACUACAUCCGAGACAGAUGUUGGUUAAGGAUGGUUCCUUGUAUACACAUCUGUGCUAUUGUAUGUCAGUCACAAGAUCUGCCAGGGUUGUGUAAGCAUGUGGUGAGCUCUUCUGGCAUUGGAUUUUCUGCGUACAGAUCAUUGCCAAGUAUUUCAGCAAGAAUGAGGACUCUACACUUUGACAGACUGUUCCCCAUUGCUCACACAUAUGGUUCCAAAAUCAUCUGCACAGAUUGUUUUCCUCCUUUGACAAAGCCAAGUUUCAUUAUAUCAUGGUACUGGUAAAUUUUCAGAAGAAGAUUGUUUUAAAAAUAAAUCUCAAUGCUCUUUAUUCACCAGUCUGUUUUGAAGAGAAUCUUAAACUUCUUCCUGAGGUUUUCUUGUUUGUUUCAGCUAGAAUUUACUAUACAGCAUAACAGCAAAGAGCACAAGUGUUAUCAUAAAAACCUUUUUAUUAGUAAACUUUGUGACCUGCACUGGCAAAACUCCCAUACCUAAAUUCCACCCUAUUACCCAGCAGUAGGUGCGACCAGCCAGUGACGUUAGUUUUGCAUUUUGAGGCUUAAAAAAAACCCCAAACAAAACCAACAUUUAAUAAUUUGCAGAUGUUGGCAGCCUGCAGUGAUGCCUGAGUUGAAGCUCUCUUUGGGUGCCAAACCACAAAUAUAUAUCAUUUUUUAUAAUCUACAAUUCCUGGAACUGAAAGAGGCUUCAAAACAAUCAAUAUGUAAACAUGAAUAUAGAGCGUUACUUUCUGAACAUCACCAGUGCUGCUACUGCCACGAGCUGCCUGCUCAGUACAGAUGGUUUUUUCUUAUUAACGAUGUCUUUCUUCAAAACAAGUUUGCUUUUUACCUUCUGUUUAGAGGUACAGGCGUGCAGGGCUUGUACAACCCCUUCAAGAAAAGGAAAGGUAUUUACAGUUUCAGAAAUUAGUAAGGCAUUAAGAAAUGCAGAAUGUUUAAACCAGAAGAAGGAAUGAUAUACAUUUCCCUAUAUGCUUUCUACUUGACAUUACCAUGUUCAAUAGCCUUGAAACCUGAAGUUUACUUUUUAUGCUUUGAACCAAUGUGGCCCUUUAACCUCCACUCCCCUCCUCUGUUGUUAUAUUCUAAACUGAAGGGAUCACCUUUGAAAACGAGCUUUCCUUUCACUUCAAGGUCAUGCAGCAGUGGCCAUGAAACUUGCUUUGAGAGGUAUUUUGGGUGCUUUUUAACAAAUUUGAUCACUGGGAAAUAACUGAUAUCAUCACUUUGCUACACCAAGGACUGACAAGUUGUGGUCAGAUGCAAAUGACUUGCAUCGGGGUUGAGGUUCCAAUAUGAAGUAAGGGUGUUUGUUGUCAGACAGUGUCUAGGACACCAGUCACAAACUGGGAAACCACAAGAUGAGGUUUUAUAUAUACAUCUUGAAGAGAUGCAUCUUUCCCCAAAAAAGCGUGAUAAAAAUGCAAGACAGAAGCUGAUGGAUGAAAAAGAGAGAUGAGGGUGGAAUAGGGAUGCAACAAAACUGUGCUAGUCAAAAGGAUAUUCAGUGUUCUCAACUCACCUAGCAUUAAUUUUAUAUUCAUUUCUGUACUUAUUUUUGUAGCCCUCCUGAUAGAGAAGAUUUUAAGAAAAGCUUAAUAGAUAGUGAAGCUCCUGGAAGUCUCUUUGCAGUUGCAGAAAAUGUGCCCUGAAGCUUGAGUGAAAUUUUGAAGAAGUCCCCGAAUUGCUUGUUCAUAAUGCAGCAAGCUGAAAUGGAAGAGACUCUGCUGUCCUAACAUACUGUAAGCCUGUGUCCUAACUGGAAGCCUGUGAAAAAUGAGAGAUAAUGGUGACAAGCUGCUGAUGGUUAGAUUUGUCAGGGAACGUGGGAGGGACUCACCAGAUCUCAGCAAGCUAAGGGGGGCUGUGGUCAUACUAUUUAAAUCCCAAAUUAUAUAAAAAUGGUGGAGAAGCCAGAUGAAAAAUGGAUGCUAUACAACAAGGUCUAAUGGAAAGAAUCAUGGCUAUGGCAGUGGAUUAAAGGCAGGGAGGAGCUCAGAGUGAGCCCCAAUAGAAUACAAGUAGUCAGUGAUGAGGAUGGAAACUGCAAAAAUACAUGUGCAUAGUGACUGGGUGUGAAGACAAAGAUUAAAAGAUUAUACAUAGAGAAACUGGAAAAUCAAUGGAAAGCAAGGGAAGAAGAUAGGAAAGAGCAAAGUGAAGAAAGCAGCCUUUCGGGUGAGUGGGAGAGUGUAGCUUGACUGCUGGUGUGAUGUUAAUGAGAGAUGAAGGAGACUGAAGAAGGGAGGUAGACAGAGGGACAGGAAUAGUGCAUGAGUGAAGGACAAAGAAGUGAGGACAUAGCCUCAGGAAUGAAGGUGAAAGCUGGGCGAGAUGGGAGUGGCAAGUGUGCAGAGCUGCAUACCUGCAGUGGUAAUGAGGAGAGACUUGUGGAUGAAUGGGCUCUAGUAAGAAAUGUGCCAGGUACAGUCCUGCAGAGCCUCCCAUAGAAGCAGCCCUUCUCUGCCCUCCUUCCAGUAGUGCCAGAUGCUGCUGCUGGAGACUGCAGGACUCUUCACCUUUUGAAUUGAAACUACAGAUGUUUCUCCUCAGGGUAGAACUGGGGACUUUCGUGUUUUAGGAAGAGAAACUAGAGCCAGCUAUUUAAAUUUUGUGCAUGUCUCAAGAGACCUGUAUCUUUGUGUAUUAACUUGAGAUGAAACAGUGCAUGUGUUUGAGCAAGAGGCCGUAAAGGCUUUCUGGGUAAAUACUACAUAGUUUAUGAUCAGUUUCAAUGGCAGCAGUGUUCUCCUCCAGCUGGUGAGUGAAGGCAGCCCUCUGUACCGGGUUCAUUGCCUGGAAUUUGCUGGCACCUGAAGCAACCUUUAUUUGGCUGUACUCAAAAGCUGAGCAACAUCCCCCAGGGUGGAGAGAGCUGGCUGGGACACCCAGAGGGUGACACUUCCUUGGCAGGUCUUCCGCACAGCCUUUGCCACCAGGGCUGUGGGAAGCUGGAAGAACCAUCAGCUCUUCUCUUCUGCCCUACUGACAGGGAAGAGGGGUCACCUCAUUUCUGGAAGGCCAAGGACUGCUUACCAACCAGGCAUUGCUGUGCCAUGCUUACCUUGGAUGGCUUUGAAAGAACAAGUAACCCAAGAUUGAAUCCAUUUCAUAGAAUUGUAGAAUCAUAGAGUCAAAUAUUCGAGUUAGAAGGGGCCCUUAAAGGUCAUUUAUUCCAACUGCCUUGCAGUGAACAGGGACACCUACAGCUACAUCAGGUUGCUCAGACCCCCCUCCAGCCUUACCUUGAGUGUCUGCAGGGAUAGGGCAUCCACCAUCUCUCCGGGCAACCUGUUCCUGUGUUU